AUGAGUAAGAUUUGUGUAUGGGUUGCACUCUAUCUCUCAUCAACCAUAUCACUUUCGUCUCAUUCUAAAAGAUUCGUCCCAAUCAUCAUCACCACUUCCUCUGCCCAACCCAUUCAAAACUCCAUUUCCACCACCGUCUACCUCUUUUUUCCACCGAUCCUCCUCCUCCAACAAGAUCUUGCCAUUUGGGAUUGGUCACCUGAAGUUUGA